GAUGAACGCUAGCGGCAGGCCUAAUACAUGCAAGUCGUACGGGAUAAGUUGUAGCAAUACGACUUUGAGAGUGGCGUACGGGUGCGUAACACGUAUGCAACCUACCUUUAACUGGGGGAUAGCCCGGAGAAAUUCGGAUUAAUACCCCAUAAUAUAAUAACAGGGCAUCUUGUUAUUAUCAAAACUCCGGUGGUUAAAGAUGGGCAUGCGGCUGAUUAGCUAGUUGGUGAGGUAAUGGCUCACCAAGGCUACGAUCAGUAGGGGGUCUGAGAGGAUGUCCCCCCCACAUGGUACUGAGACACGGACCAGACUCCUACGGGAGGCAGCAGUAGGGAAUAUUGGUCAAUGGACGAAAGUCUGAACCAGCCAUGCCGCGUGCAGGAUGACUGCCCUAU
rnacentral:rRNA from 1 species